GGGGUUGUCAAGGUUUCGACAGAGAACAUGAACCUUUAGAAGCUAUCCGGGGGCAUCGCACGUUACGCAGCAAAUUAAAUAAUAAACGACAAUAGACGUUUAGCAUUAGCAGCCUAGUCUGCUUCGUCUACCUUUAUUCACCUGUAGGUAAAGAAUAGGCGUCAAUUUUGCAGGAAACAGAGAAAGUCUUCCUCGAACUUUCUGCUGUAUAAGAGGAUAGAGAGAAAUGAGAUUUGUUUGUUGAACUUAUUUCAAUCGAAACUUGAUCAAUAGACUAUGAUAGUAGAAGGAAAGCGGAUUGUUUUUUGGAAACGGGUUCGAUUCCCGUCAGCUCCAU
rnacentral:tmRNA from 1 species